AGGACGAACGCUGGCGGCGUGCUUAACACAUGCAAGUGGAGCGACGAACCGGGGCUUGCCCCGGGGCAGAGCCGCGAACGGGUGAGUAACACGUGGGUCACCUGCCUCAAUGACCGGGACAACCCGAGGAAACUCGGGCUAAUACCGGAUGUGCCCGCAAGGGGAAAGGAAGCUUCGGCCUCCGCAUUGAGAUGGGCCCGCGGCCCAUUAGCUUGUUGGUGAGGUAACGGCUCACCAAGGCUUCGAUGGGUAGCUGGUCUGAGAGGACGAUCAGCCACACUGGGACUGAGACACGGCCCAGACUCCUACGGGAGGCAGCAGUGGGGAAUUUUCCGCAAUGGACGCAAGUCUGACGGAGCAACGCCGCGUGCAGGAGGACGCUUUUCGGAGUGUAAACUGCUUUUCUGUGGGAAGAGGCAGGACGGUACCACGAGGAAGAAGCCCCGGCUAACUACGUGCCAGCAGCCGC
rnacentral:rRNA from 1 species